GAAAUGCGAAAAGUAAUGUGAAUUGCAGAAUUCAGUGAAUCAUCGAAUCUUUGAACGCACAUUGCGCCCGCCAGUAUUCUGGCGGGCAUGCCUGUCUGAGCGUCAUUUCAACCCUCAUGCCCUAGCGGCGUGGUGUUGGGGCUCGGCCUGAACUUGCUUCGGGCCGUCCCCUAAAUCUAGUGGCGGACCCGCUGUGGCCUCCUCUGCGUAGUAGUAAUAUUUCGCAUGUGGAGAGCGGCGAGACCCUGCCGUAAAACCCCAACUUCUCAAGGUUGACCUCAGAUCAGGUAGGAAUACCCGCUGAACUUAA
rnacentral:misc_RNA from 1 species